GGACAGAGGAGCCUGCCAGCCUACAGUGCAUGGGGUUGCAGAGUCAGACACAACUGAGAGACUGAUCACUUCACUUCAGAGAAAACAGAAGCAGAGCCAAGAGACCGCCAGCAUCACCAGCACGAGAGCCUCUAAGUAUAUAUUUUCCCAUUUUAAAAGUAAGGAAAGAAAGUCACGGUGAAAAAGGUGGGAAAACCAAGACGUGAGGGAAUUGGUUUGGUCCAAAGGGAUUCACGUUGGAGGAACCUGUUUCUUCAUCUGUAAAAGGCUAUCAGUCAGUUCAACGAGUCAAUCGUGUCUGACUCUUUGCGACCACGUGGACUGCAGCACGCCAGGCUUCCCUGUCCAUUGCCACUAUAAAGUGAUAUAAGCAAUGAAAACACAUGUAACGUGCCCAAGUCAGAGAACGUUCUUGAAAUGUUUGCUUUCCUCCCACCGAACGCCCCACCUCACUUUCUCCCACCGGAACACCCAGGUCUCCUGAUCCCCACGUGCACACAUGUUCAGAAACGCUAAAAGAACCACCGUUUCUCCACUUCCAUCCAGACUCCUCUUUAGCAGAGGCGGUUUUAAAGUCAUGUGUUAUUAGAAAUCUUAUAAUGUACAGUUUGUAAACGGCAAGUCAGAAAUUGGAAGCUCAGGCCAGGAUCCUGAGACUGCCUGUCCGACAGCAGAGGCAUCAGAGAAUGCACUCAUUCAUAAGCUCGCCAGAGAGACGAGGUGGAAAAGACACUGACGUACAGACAGGAAGUGCAGACAAGGCUAAUUCGUUGCCACUGAAGCUUGCUGAGCGUGGUCUGGCUGUGACGUAAAUUAUUCAUGCAUUCCCCACGGCACCCUUGUGUUGAAGGCUGAUGUCAGGACAGGACCCCGAGUUCCUCUUCUGCCCCCGCCAGAGCUGAGCCGCGGUGUACAGAGUCGACACACCAUCCAUCCUAAAAUCCACUCUGUCCUCCAAGGGGGCCCACAGUGCAAGGCUGGCCAGUGCAACUAGGCUUCCUUGUCCAACUGCCAGAGACAGAUGGAUUCAUUCAGUUGCCAGCCCAAUACCCCCUGAUAAUGGUGAUAAUGUCUGGAAUUGAUUUAUGGUGCUCCUCUUGCCAUGAGAACGCAGUGGAGGCUGGACUGUGUAAGUGGCCUUUUGCUGCAGGUACAGAAUCAUCCUCUAAUUGUUCAUCUAAUGUUUCAGAUGUCCUAGUCAGGAAUAACAAAUUCAUGUGCUAUAGGGGCCCAGAAGUCACAGUGGUAAAGAGUAAGAUGAGAGACUUGCCUAGUGGUCCAGUGGCUAAGAAUCUGCCUGCCAGUGCAAGGGACAUGGGUUCAAUCCCUGCUCAGGGAAGAUUCCACAUGUCACAGAGCAGCUAAGCCCAUAUGCCACAACUACUGAGCCCUCGUUCCUAGAGCCCAUUCUCUACAACAAAAGAAGCCACCACAAUGAGAAGCCUGUGCAUUGCAGUGAAGAGCCAGCACAGCCAUAAAUAAAUAAAUUUUAUUUUUUAAAAAGGAGUAAGAUGAUAGGGCGUGUUGGGGAAUGUCCGAGAGGAGAUUGCCUGUCCCAUCCUUCCAGACGGCUCCUUGCAGACCCAGCACAGAUUGUUGGCUUCUGAGGGCACAUGUCUUGGGUUAUUGCAUCUUCUGACUUUUCACAAGAAGCUGGAUUCCCAGAUUUUAAUGUGGAAAUCUCCUAGUUUUUAAAUUUAAGUGCUGAGUGAAUACUUCCAUUGGUCCAGUUCAACUAGAUUGUUUAUAAUCUCUGAUCUUAUUUGUUUCCCUGUGUAAAGGUAGCCUUUCACAGGAAGGGACAUCACUGUUUCUCCCACAUUCUCUUUUGUCCUCUCUUACACCGCAUCAUUCUUUGCAUAACGUGUAGCAUUUAUAUCAGUUAUGAUCUUCAACCUCAGUCACCAAUUUACUGCUCUGGUAUCCCAGACUCUGUGCUCCAGGUUCUUUUUCUUCUUCAUUAUUGCUUUCUGUGUCUUCUCCUCAUUUCUCAAAGGCCUCCAGACACCUCAAAAGGAAAGGCAGCGUGAACAGGAGUCAGUAAUGACUGUCUACUGACAACACGCCUUCAUCUCUAAGACAGCAUUUUCUCUCUUUCGAAGCCAGGUCAUUGCCAAGAUGGCAGGAGUUUAGCAGAGAAAAAGGGAGGAAUUCCAGGGUAGAGUCCAAAAGGCCUCUCCUUCCGUGUAAGGCGGCGCUCAACAGUUAAUGCGCACCCGACUCGCCUCCUAGCAUCCUCCGCCCCUCCUGCUCCCAGGUCCCACCAUCUGUGGGGACAUUCUCCCUUUUCCGGGACGUGUUCUGUGGUGGGGGCCCACUGCUCCCUCAUGCUCUCCCCG
ensembl:lncRNA